CUCCUACGGGAGGCAGCAGUGGGGAAUCUUGCACAAUGGGGGAAACCCUGAUGCAGCGACGCCGCGUGAGCGAUGAAGCCCUUCGGGGUGUAAAGCUCUUUCGACGAGAACGAUAAUGACGGUACCCGAAGAAGAAGCUGCGGCUAACUACGUGCCAGCAGCCGCGGUAAUAC
rnacentral:rRNA from 1 species